GACCGGGAUCUUAUCCAUCGACCACCAAAGAACUGUAUUUUGUGAUAUGGGUGCUUAAAACAACAAAAUCAUGAAUUGUCAAGAAAUUAAUUUAAAUUUACAACAUAAACUUGGAGAACAAGUGUAUUAUCUCGGGUGAUAUAAUGCCGAACAGAUUAUGCAGAUUGAUAUUUUAAAACAAAGACCACUGAAACCUAUGGUCUUUAUAGCUAAUAUUUUACCUAGUGACAGCAAAAUAUAUAUGGAGCAUUGGGUGUGUGUAUAUACUUAGACAUGCUCACUCGCCAUUUAUUCUUUUUUGACAGUUUUGCUCUAUCGCCAGAUUUUAAUAGUCCUUAUUUUAUAAAGUUUAUUGAAAAACUUAAUGUUAGAGAAGUGCAUACAUCAUUGUAUAGAAUCUAGAGUGAUUUUAGUCUCACUUGUGGAUUAUAUUGCAUCAUGUUUGUACAUAAAGUUACCCACCAGGGAUUAAAUUGAACCUUGCUAUAUUUGAAAAAUGUAUUUUCUAAAGUACUUUUAGACUUAAAUGAUAAGCGUGUUCUAUCAUACGCCAGACAUUAUUUUCCAAUGAAGCAGCCUUGUGAGAGAACGUUUUGCAGAGGCCUGGCUAUUGGGUCUUAUCAAUGGUGCAAACGAUUCUUGUGUGAGACACAACCACACGUUGAUGCUUAAUUAUCAUUUAUAUAAAAUAAGAUAUUUACCUAUCAUAUAAUAAGUACAGUGGAGACGUAGAAAGUGUAAAGAGGGUGGGGAAUGUGGGGUUUCUUGCCCCUCCCAUAAUAUUAAGGAGGGGGGGGAUGCGCGGGGUCUCCGGCCUAUAAAAUCCCGAGACCAGCCAAGAGCCUUCACCAUACAGAACACUGGUGUUUGAGAACAUGGGCAACCCACAACAGCAACAAGAUGCCCGUCCAAAGGUGGUCACCCUUGAGGCUCCUGCUAAUUUUACUGGGUUUGUUCACAUUUGAAGAGAUGUGAUUCUACAGGGUAGUUCUAUGCUGGAAAGUUUGCUGCUAAGUGGCGCAGCUAGAGUCACCUGUUGUGACCACCAGAAGCUCAACCCCGAAAAGACAGAGGAGGGAGUCAGUUCCCCCACCGAGGGAGGGGAGACCACUCAUAAUAAGGAUGAUGACAAGAAUUCUCCUACAAAGAAAUUCAAAUUAAGAGAUGAAGAGAUAGAGGAACAGGUCAAGAUGGAGGUCAUCUGAGACGAUGUGGUAGAGAAGGCACUUGUCUCUGAAGAUGUGGUUGAACAAGCAAAACGUUCAAAGGUAGAGAAUGAACCAGAGAGGGAGCAGACCGAUAUAUCAGAAUAACAACAAUGUCAGCUUUAUUAGGGACUUUGUAUAAUAGUGCAAUUA